AAGGCCUCGGAGUCACAGCAGUGGGAGAGAUGCCGUGACUUCCUACAAAGUAGUUUCCCGGGAGCGCCGGAAGUGGGCGGAGCUCGGUGGCACUUCCUGUACUCUCCUAGGCUGGGAUGAGAAUAAUAGUAGGGACGAGGAAAAAGAAGCCAUCGCUGAUGAAAGACUGAUGUAAUGCAUCUUCUUGGUGUAAGCUAGCCGGGCGGCCAGGAAGAACAAGCAGCCCCCCUCCUGCAACAGAUAGCCAAUUAACAAUGUCUAAGGUAACUUUUAGCUUUGGCAUCUCACAUUUCAUCUGAAAUUCAAAAAUCAGUCAUAUUUGUCAUGUUUAAUAAACAUGUCUUCCCAUAUGCAACUACCGCUGCCACUGAGGAACACGUGGAUGUCCAGGGUCAGGUCAGCCACCUGAGUCCAUGUUAGUGUCCGAGGGCCACGAUGCAGCCAGGGCCAUGUAGAUCUGAAUGGCCUUUGCUGCUACCCAAUGCCAUGGUGACAUUUGAGCCAGAGCUGCAGCUGAGGGCUGUGUCUGGAUCUGUGUCCUUACUGCAGCCAGUCUCUGUGUUACCAUAGAAGACCAUGCAGAUGCCUGCACUGCCACCUGGAGCAAUGGUGACAUCCAGAUCCAGCUGCUGCCAAGGACCAUGUCUGGGUCCGUGGUCCUAUUGCAGCUGGCAUCUCUGCUCAAGUCCAAGUCCCAUAUUGCCACCAAAGGUCACACAGAACAUGGGGUUGGGGUCUUUCUGGUGUCCAGGAGCCAGGCCACUGCCAGAACAGUCCCAAUCUGAGUGUUCAGUGCUCCCCCCCUCACCUCCCCAGAGUCCAGGCCUGAGCUGCUGCUGAGGACCAGGUCUAGGUCUAUAGUCCAGCUGCAGCUGGGAUCUGUUGAUGUCUACGGCCUGUGUCAGGAGGCCAUGGGAACCAUGGGUGAUGAAACCAGAGGACUAUGCUGAGCUGGCCCCACCCUUCACUAACCCAAGGACUCUACAGCAAGCGAGCUGACCCAUGCUCUGAGAGAUGGCCCCACCCCUCAGCACAGGUGAGAAAAUUGACCCUGAUGGUAUGUAGGGGAGCUGGCUCCACCCCUGUCAUCUGAGGUGGGUGGCCUCAGUGGCCUGGAAUGACCAACUCAGCUACCACCGACCCACAGCUGGGCCUAGGAUUGGCCCACGCUAACAUCUACCCCAUCUAGGACCUGCUGAAGCUGGCGAAGGGACUGGUGCUGUGGAACAAUACCAACAGGUCUACUGUGUGCACACUGCCCCAGUGCCCCAGAACAGUGAAGAGGUCUACUGUGUGCACACUGCCCCAGAGCAAUGAAGAGGUCUACUGUGUGCACACUGCCCCAGAACAAUGAAGAGAUGUUGAAGAAGCGGGCAAGAAGAAGCAAAGAAGUUUUUUUGUUUGUUGGUUGGUUUGUUUUGUUCUUGCUUUUAUUUGCUUUGAUUUUUUUUUUUUAAAUUUCUUUUGGGGGACCACUGAAGCAGAGAGGGGGAGGCUAUGGGGGGAUUGGGAGGUAAGCAGAAUUGAGGUGUAUGAUGUGAAAUUGCCAAAGAAUCAAUAUUUUUUUUUAAAAAAGCACCUGUUUUCCAAUGUUUUUUUUUUCCUUUUUUUAUAAUCUUUGUUUCAUUCUUGCAUCUUAUCUCUCCUCUUGGUCCACACUUGCCCUUUAUUUUCACAGUACAUGACUUACGGGAUGCUGCAGUGUUCACUUCUGAAGAAAGACCCGAGUCAGUUGGUUGAGCUUGUUGGUUCCGCCUAAGCGAACUCAACUGUCCCCACUUACACAUCUGUAAGUC